rnacentral:rRNA from 1 species
CUACGGGGGGCAGCAGUGGGGAAUAUUGCACAAUGGAGGAAGCUCUGAUGCAGCAACGCCGCGUGGAGGAUGACACUUUUCGGAGCGUAAACUCCUUUUAUAUAGGAAGAAGAUGACGGUACUAUAUGAAUAAGCGCCGGCUAACUCCGUGCCAGCAGCCGCGGUAAUACGGAGGGCGCAAGCGUUACUCGGAAUCACUGGGCGUAAAGAGCGUGUAGGCGGAUUAAAAAGUCAGAAGUGAAAUCCUAUAGCUUAACUAUAGAACUGCUUCUGAAACUCUUAAUCUAGAAUAUGGGAGAGGUAGAUGGAAUUUCUGGUGUAGGGGUAAUAUCCGUAGAGAUCAGAAGGAAUACCGAUUGCGAAGGCGAUCUACUAGAACAUUAUUGACGCUGAGACGCGAAAGCGUGGGGAGCAAACAGGAUUAGAUACCCUAGUAGUC